GACGGAGGAUGCAAGCGUUAUCCGGAAUGAUUGGGCGUAAAGCGUCUGCAGGUGGCAGUUCAAGUCUGCUGUCAAAGACCGGGGCUUAACUUCGGAAAGGCAGUGGAAACUGAACAGCUAGAGUAUGGUAGGGGCAGAGGGAAUUCCUGGUGUAGCGGUGAAAUGCGUAGAGAUCAGGAAGAACAUCGGUGGCGAAGGCGCUCUGCUGGACCAUAACUGACACUCAGGGACGAAAGCUAGGGGAGCGAACGGG
rnacentral:rRNA from 1 species